rnacentral:misc_RNA from 1 species
GAUGAAGAACGUAGCGAAACGCGAUAACUAAUGUGAAUUGCAGAAUUCCGUGAAUCAUCGAGUCUUUGAACGCACAUUGCGCCCCCUGGUAUUCCGGGGGGCAUGCCUGUCCGAGCGUCAUUGCUGCCCAUCAAGCACGGCUUGUGUGUUGGGUCCUCGUCCCCCCCGGGGGACGUGCCCGAAAGGCAGCGGCGGCACCGCGUCCGGUCCUCGAGCGUAUGGGGCUUUGUCACCCGCUCUGCAUGCCCGGCCGGCGCUGGCCGACGCGAAAGCAACCAUUUUUUCUCCAGGUUGACCUCGGAUCAGGUAGGGAUACCCGCUGAACUUAAGCAUAUCAAUAAGCGGAGGA